AUUGAACGCUGGCGGCAUGCCUUACACAUGCAAGUCGAACGGUAACGGGCCUUCGGGUGCCGACGAGUGGCGAACGGGUGAGUAAUGUAUCGGAACGUACCUUUCAGUGGGGGAUAACGUAGCGAAAGUUACGCUAAUACCGCAUAUUCUGUGAGCAGGAAAGCAGGGGAUCGCAAGACCUUGCGCUGAUUGAGCGGCCGAUAUCAGAUUAGCUAGUUGGUGAGGUAAAGGCUCACCAAGGCGACGAUCUGUAGCGGGUCUGAGAGGAUGAUCCGCCACACUGGAACUGAGACACGGUCCAGACUCCUACGGGAGGCAGCAGUGGGGAAUUUUGGACAAUGGGGGCAACCCUGAUCCAGCCAUGCCGCGUGAGUGAAGAAGGCCUUCGGGUUGUAAAGCUCUUUCGGCCGGGAAGAAAUCGUAUCAGCUAAUACCUGGUGCGGAUGACGGUACCGGCAUAAGAAGCACCGGCUAACUACGUGCCAGCAGCCGCGGUAAUACGUAGGGUGCGAGCGUUAAUCGGAAUUACUGGGCGUAAAGCGUGCGCAGGCGGUUUUGUAAGACAGGCGUGAAAUCCCCGGGCUCAACCUGGGAACUGCGUUUGUGACUGCAAGGCUAGAGUACGGCAGAGGGGGGUGGAAUUCCACGUGUAGCAGUGAAAUGCGUAGAGAUGUGGAGGAACACCAAUGGCGAAGGCAGCCCCCUGGGUCGA
rnacentral:rRNA from 1 species